AUUGAACGCUGGCGGCAGGCCUAACACAUGCAAGUCGAGCGGAUGAAGGGAGCUUGCUCCUGGAUUCAGCGGCGGACGGGUGAGUAAUGCCUAGGAAUCUGCCUGGUAGUGGGGGAUAACGUCCGGAAACGGGCGCUCAUACCGCAUACGUCCUGAGGGAGAAAGUGGGGGAUCUUCGGACCUCACGCUAUCAGAUGAGCCUAGGUCGGAUUAGCUAGUUGGUGGGGUAAAGGCCUACCAAGGCGACGAUCCGUAACUGGUCUGAGAGGAUGAUCAGUCACACUGGAACUGAGACACGGUCCAGACUCCUACGGGAGGCAGCAGUGGGGAAUAUUGGACAAUGGGCGAAAGCCUGAUCCAGCCAUGCCGCGUGUGUGAAGAAGGUCUUCGGAUUGUAAAGCACUUUAAGUUGGGAGGAAGGGCAGUAAGUUAAUACCUUGCUGUUUUGACGUCACCAACAGAAUAAGCACCGGCUAACUUCGUG
rnacentral:rRNA from 1 species